AUUGAACGCUGGCGGCAGGCCUAACACAUGCAAGUCGAACGAGUGGCGGACGGGUGAGUAAUGUCUGGGAAACUGCCUGAUGGAGGGGGAUAACUACUGGAAACGGUAGCUAAUACCGCAUACCAUCGGAUGUGCCAAGAUGGGAUUAGCUAGUAGGUGGGGUAAAGGCUCCCAUAGGCGACGAUACCUAGCUGGUCUGAGAGGAUGACCACACACACUGGUACUUGGACCCGGUCCAGGCUCCUCCGGGAGUCAGAAGGGGGGAAUAUUGCACAAUGGGCGCAAGCCUGAUGCAGCUAUGCCGGGUGUAUGAAGUAGUCCUUCGGGUUUUAAAGUACUUUCAGCGGUGAGGCGUUACCCGCAGAAGAAGCACCGGCUAACUCCGUGCCAGCAGCCGCGGUAAUAC
rnacentral:rRNA from 1 species